rnacentral:rRNA from 1 species
UGGGGAAUAUUGGACAAUGGGCGCAAGCCUGAUCCAGCCAUGCCGCGUGAGUGAUGAAGGCCCUAGGGUUGUAAAGCUCUUUCAGCGAGGAGGAUAAUGACGUUACUCGCAGACGAGCCGGCUAACUUCGCUGCCAGCAGCCGCAGGUAAUACGGAAGGGGGCUAGCGUUGUUCGGAAUCACUGGGCGUAAAGCGCACGUAGGCGGACUUUUAAGUCAGGGGUGAAAUCCCGGGGCUCAACCUCGGAACUGCCUUUGAUACUGGAAGUCUGGAGUCCGAGAGAGGUGAGUGGAACUCCGAGUGUAGAGGUGAAAUUCGUAGAUAUUCGGAAGAACACCAGUGGCGAAGGCGGCUCACUGGCUCGGUACUGACGCUGAGGUGCGAAAGCGUGGGGAGCAAACA